AGUCGUGAGCCCCUGCGCCUAGCCUAAUUUACUAGAAUAUUUUAUCACAUCCUCUCUGCUGAACACAUUACUAGCUUGUAAUUGGAGAAUAUGAGCAAGAUUCAUGUUAUUUAUUUUUAAUAAAACAUGUAUUGGUGUCUCUGAACCAGACCUGAUCACCUGUCUGGAGCAGGAAAAAAAACCUUUGACUAUGAAGAGACAUGAGAUAAUUGCCAAACCCCCAGGUAGGUGUGAGUGAAAAUGAAUACAACAGAUGACACAGAUUAGAGAUCCCAAGGUCAAAGAGAAAGCCAGUCCUUAGAAUGUGAUUUGGGAAGCUGUGUUCCAAAGGAAAUAGUUCCUGGGCAUCUGUUCUAUUGUUUGUUUGUUUGUUUUUUAAAUUUUAUUCUCACAAAGGGGUAUCUUCUGUCUUGUGCUUUUAAAUUCUCUACAAAUUCCACUUUUCUUUCCGUGAGCUUCCUUCAAGUUCACAGUGAGAGCCAAAGUCCACUUCAGGGCAUAUAAGAGACUGCACAAUCUGGCUGCUUUUCUAUUGUUUUGGGGACACACAACUAUCUGCAUGAUUUUGAGAAACUAAAAGUUUUUAAAGUUUUUUUUUGCAUCAGAUUUGAAAUGUGUGGGAGUAGUUGUUUCUGUUGAAUAUUUUUGUUCAUUUUUCUGCCCAGCCCAUUCUGUUUUUAUUACUAUAUAGCCUUGAAAUAUAGUUUGAAAUUAUAAGUAUGAUAUUUUUCUGCUUUGUUCUUUUUUCUCAAGAUUGCUUUGGCUAUUCAAAGUUUAUUUUAGUUUCAUGUAAAUUUUAGAAUUGUAUUUUCCGUUACUGUGAAAAAAAUACCACUGCAAUUUUGAUAGGAAAUUUAUUGAAUCUAUAGAUCACUUUGGAUAAUAUGGCACUUUAAUAAUAUUUAUUCUUUCAAUCUGUAGACACAAAAUAUUUUAAAAUUUAUUUAGAUCUUCUCUAAUUUUUUCAUUGUUUUUUUUUAUUGUGAAGAUUUUUACCUCCUUGGUUAAUUUUUUCUCACAAAUUUAUUAUUUAAUGCUAUAGUAAAUAAGAUUUGUUUCAUCUUCUAUUUUAUCUGGUAGUUGAAGUUUCUGAAACCAUAUAUAUACUUGCAUGUUAAUUUUAUAUUUUGCUAAUUUACGAGUGUAUUUAUUAGUUUAUGUAGCUUUUAAUGUUCUGUGAUGGUUUUUCUAAAAUAUAAGAUUGUAUGAUCUACAAACAGCAACUUUUUACUUAUUUUUCUUUCAUUUCAAUGGAUUUUUUUGUUUCUUUGAGUAAUUCUUCUGCCACAUACUUCCAGUUCUACAUUAAAAUAGAAGUAUUGACAAUGGACACAAUAUAGUUUUGUAUUGGUGUCUGAAUUUGAUGGAGCAAACACCUCUUCAAGUUUUCAUGAACUGAUUUUAGAAGUUAUGUGUUCUCAUUUUGCCCAAGACCUUUGGCCAGAGCAGAGCGUAAAAGAUUCUUUCCAAAAACUGAUACUGAGAAGUUAGUUAUGAAAAAUGUGGACAUGACAAUUUACAGUUAAAAAAAGAAUGUGAAAGUGUGGAUGAGUGUAAGGUGCACAAAGAAGGUUAUAAUGGACUUAACCAAUGCUUCACAAAUACCAAGAAAAAAAUAUUUCAAUGUGAUAAAUAUAGGAAAGUUUUUCAUAAAUUUUCAAAUUCAAACUGACAUAAGAGAAGACAUACGGGAAAAAAGACCUUUCAAAUGUAUAGAAUGUGGCAAAGCUUUUAACAAGUUUUCAACCCUUACUACACAUAAGAAAAUUCAUACUAGAGAGAAACCCUACAAAUGUGAAGAAUGUGGCAAAGCCUUCAACUGGUCCUCAUACCUUACUAUACAUAAGAGAAUUCAUACUGGAGAGAAACUCUACAAAUGUGAAGAAUGUGGCAAAGCCUUCAACUGGUCCUCAUACCUUACUGCAUAUAAGAUAACUCAUACUAGAGAGAAACCCUACAAAUGUGAAGAAUGUGGCAAAGCCUUUAAGUACUCCUCGAACCUCACUACACAUAAGAUAAUUCAUACUGGAGAGCAUCUCUACAAGUGUGAAGAAUGUGGCAAAGCGUUUAACCAUGCUGCAUGCUUCUUUGUCAUUUUGAAGAUUUGACUUAAAGUACAUUUUAUAAAAUAUGACAGUUUUUGACUUAAGAUGUAGCUUGUGUAAUAUUAUUCUGAGCUCUUCUGCUCUCAUUUGGUUAAUAUUUACAUGAAAUUUCUACUUCCAUCUUUCCACUUUCAGUCUUUUUUUCUCAUUAGAUCUCAACUAACUCUUGUAGAAAGGCAAGUUGAAUCUUGAUUUAAAAAUUUUUUAAUAAACCUUUAUAUUGAAAGUA